rnacentral:lncRNA from 1 species
AGUCUCAGCACCCAAGAGACACAGACAGGUGGAUCCUUGCCUGAGGCCAGCCAAAGCUACAAAACCCCGUUGACUGAUCUGCCGGCCAGGUCAAAGAGAUGCACAAAAUUAGAAAUGUCAUGGGAAAAUCCCACCGUAUCAGAAGCUCUGGAACAUGAGUUAGACAGCUCCAGGGGAGAUACACAUUCACUGCUUGAUUGGAUAGCUGCAGCUUGGAGAUAGGCAUUCCCCUUCUUAGAUGUAACUCAGUUGGAGGCCUCAGCAAAAUGGAAUCGUUUACAGAAAGCAAUUCAGUUAGCAAGGAAAUUAGGAGUACUCCACUUCAGCUACAACCAGGUUCCUGACCCACAGGCAGCACCUGUGGCCUCCCCCUGCCUUGAAGGAGGCUGAUUCAGACCUUGCUGCUACUGAGAAUGAGACCACCUGGGGUGGAGCCUUCUGACCUAGAUGGCUUUAUUUUUCUGUCACCUGCCGCUGCUCUUCUCCAAGAAGCACUACGCUGAGAGGCUGAACCUGUCUUCCUGAGAUGUUCCUGAGAUAGCCAACAACCUGUGGACUUGGCGACCUAAUGCUAAAAGCUCUGACAGACUACUUAGCAACAAAGCAUCAAGAAGCCUGGUGUGGCAGGAGAUGGGCCUCCCCCCUUUAUAAGCACAGACUCUUAGUAAACUUUGGGCCUUGAUC